UUUACCAUCUCAUUUUCUGUCAACUCAUUCAACCAAUUAUUUGAGACUAAUCUAAGUAGUUUAUAGAAAAAAUGAUACACUAUCAGAAUCAUAUUAACAGGAAUGAUGUUUUUGUGGUAUAUUAUUAUUAUUAUUUUAUUAUGCGAAUGUAUAUACUUAUGUUUAUUCACGUUGCUAAUAAAUAACAUCACUUCCGGGUCAUUCACUGGAAAAUGUUGUGAACCAAACAUGUCUUCACUUAACCUUCUAUGACUAAUAGCGUAUGUGAUAGAAGCCUUAUAAGUCACGACACCACAAUUGACGACGAAGAUGGGAAAGCCAGACACGUUUAAUGAAGGUACAGAAACUUUUAUAAAUUAUAAAGAAAGGCUAGAUGCCUACUUUAUUGCAAACAGUACUCCAUCGGAGAAAAAGGCCGCCAUACUACUAGCCUCCAAAGGGGCCAAACCUUAUGCUACAUUAAGGUCAUUGGCGUCUCCAGAGUUGCCCAUCACGAAAUCAUAUGAAGAGCUUUGCAAGUUGCUUAACAAUCAUUACAGUACUCCUCCAUUUGGAGAUUAUGGAAAGAUUAAAAUUCCACAACAGAAUUCAAGAAGACAACGAAACAAUCAAUGAAUUUAUAACUGCUAUAAAGGCACUUUCAGAACAUUGUAAUUUUGGCCCGGCUCUCCAAGAAUCACUUAGAGAUAGAUUUGUUUGUGGCCUAAAAGAUGUAAACAUUCAGAAAAGACUCAAGCCAAUCUAACCUUAUCGAUAGCUACCAACAUAGCUACAGCCAUGGAGACUGCCAAGAGAGAUGCGGAACAGAUUCAGUCUAAUCAAACCCAAUCUCUACACAGGAUGCAAACCAAAAAGAGCACAGCAAAAGCUGAACUACGAAUGAACGAUAAUCUCUAUACAAGAGAUCAAAAGGAACCUUACAACUCAUCUCCAUCGAAACAAGAAGAUAAAGGGGACACCAGAACUAUGUGUCUCUCCUGUGGCAAGUCAAAUCAUACAAGAGCAAGAUGCUUCUUUCGCAGCGCCACAUGUUUCAAGUGUGGCAAACAAGGUCAUAUAAAAAAAGCAUGCAAAAGAGAAGGGAAGAUACACAGUGUACAAGAUACAGAAGAAGAAAUAUUCAACAUGUCAACAAACAAAAUGUGCAUAAAAAUUAAUAUUGACAGAAUUGAAACAGAAAUGGAAAGAGACACAGGUUCUGGGCUAUCAUUAAUAACAAUAGAAGAUUAUAAGAAAAUCUUUAAAAGAAACCCAAAACUUGAAUGCACAAAUGUCCGCUUGAGAACCUACACAGGAGAAGAAAUACUCCCUCUGGGAAAAACAAACGAAAUAGUAUACAAUCAUCAUGAAACCAAGAAACAUAUUGAGUAAAGGUAGCAAUCCUAUACUAGGACGUGAAUGGAUAAGAUCUCUGAAAAUCAACUGGAGUGACAUCAAACAGUUAAUAUCCUCUGAAUCUGGUAUACAAAAAAAUAUAAAUUGUCUAAUCAAAGAAUUCGAGGUCUUCUCAGAAGGAAUAGGCACCGUCAGAAACAUGCAUGCCAACAUAGCAAUAAAAGAUGAUGCUAAACCAGAAUUCUGCAAUACAAGGCCCGUCCCUUAUGCUAUCAAGGCAAAAGUAGAAAAGGAAUAGAACAAACUAGAGAAUGAAGGAAUUCUAUCUAAAGUGAAUUACAGCAGUUGGGCAACACCAAUAGUACCAAUAAUGAAACCAUCUAGAGAUGUUCGAAUAUGUGGUGACUUCAAGGUAACCAUCAACCCAGUUUUAAAAGUCGAACAAUAUUCUCUACCAAGAAUAGAAGAUAUCCUUCCAAAUUUAGAAAAAGGAGACAAAUUCUCAAAAAUAGAUAUACGACAAGCAUAUCUUACACUUCAACUAGAUGAAGCUUCAAAACCCUUAACGACCAUCAAUACACACAAAGGCCUAUAUGUGUACAACAGACUUGUCUUUGAGAUCACAUCAGCUCCUAAGAUAUGGCAAAGAACAAUGGAUAUUAUCUUAAAUGGACUGCCAGGAGUACAAUGCAAUCAAGAUGAUAUGAUCAUCACAGGAAAAGAUGACACAGAACAUCUUGCAAAUUUAAGAAGUCUACUCGGCAGACUGAAGGAAUAUGGUCUCAAGUCAAAUCUGGAAAAAUGUGCUUUCUUCAAACAUGAAAUUAUUUUCUGUGGAAUGAAAAUUUCUAAAGAAGGAUUACAAUGAAAACCAAUGACAAAGUAUUAGCAGUAACGAACGCACCUACUCCAAAUAAUAAGUCACAGCUGAGGUCUUUUCAAGGUAUGGCUAAUUAUUACCAUAAGUGGCUCAAAAAUAUUGCACAAAUAGCUAAACCACUCUACAAUCUACUACAAGACAAAGUUAAAUUCGUUUGGGAUGAAAGCUGCACCGAGGCCUUCGAAACAAUAAAAACAAUGAUCGCAUCAGAUUAUGUUCUCAUAAGAUAUGACCAAAAUCUACCAGUUCGAUUGGCUUGUGAUGCAUCACCAUAUGGUAAAGGGGCAGUUUUGUCUCAUGUGACCAAAUCAGGUGACGAAAGACCGAUUGCGUAUGCCUCUAGAACACUAAAGCAGAAGAAAAUUAUUCUCAACUGGAUAAAGAAGCUCUAGCAAUAGUUUGGGCCGUAAAUAAAUUCUUCAUCUACUUAUGUGGGAGACACUUCACCCUCAUUACCGAUCAUGAGCCACUGAAACACAUUUUCAAUCCAACCAAAGGUAUUCCAGCUAUGUCAGCUGCUAGACAACAAAGGUAUGCUGUAUUCUUAUCUGGAUUUAACAACUCAAUUGAAUUUAGAAAGUCCAAGUCACAUGCCAAUGCUGAUGGACUCUCCAGAUUACCACUACCCAUUACAACCCCAGUAAAUGAAGACAACUUUAUAGCAGAUAACCUCUUCUACACUGAACUAAUGGAAACGAUACCGCUAAAUGCAACAAUCAUUGCUAAAGAAUCUCGCCAUGAUCCACAAAUAGCACAAGUAUUAAAUUUCAUCUCACAAGGCAAUUGGCCCAGACUCACAUCACCUGGCAUCGAACCAUUCUUCUCAAGGCGUAAUGAACUAAUGGUCCAACAAGGAUGCUUACUGUGGGGUUAUCGUAUGAUAAUUCCCAAAAAGCUACGCUCACAACUGUUGGACACUCUACACAUAGGCCAUCUGGGCAUUGUCAAGAUGAAAAAUGUCGCACGAAUGUAUUUUUGGUGGCCGGGAUUAGAUAAGGACAUAUAAUCUAUCACAAAAUCAUGUGAAGGAUGUUCUUAUCAUCAGCCCGAUCCUCCAAAAGCACCACUACAUCCAUGGCAGUGGCCAGAGCGGCCCUGGGAACGAAUACAUAUAGACUUUGCUGGACCUUUUAUGAAUAAUAUGUUCUUAAUAAUGAUAGACGCUCAUACAAAAUGGGCAGAAGUAUUACCCGUCAGUUCUACAAAAUCAUCUUCAACAAUCGACUGUCUCACAGAAACGUUCUCAAGAUUGGGAAUACCCAACAUCAUUGCAAGUGACAAUGGCUCUACGUUCACUUCAAAUGAAUUUAAAGACUUUACCAAAAGAAAUGGAAUCAAGCACAUCCCAACUGCACCUUUUCACCCGGCUACCAAUGGACUUGCAGAAAGAUUCGUGAAAUCAUUCAAAAUAGCUAUGAAGGCUGCAAAAAAUGAUACAGGCACAUUAAGUCAGAAAAUCUCUAGAUUUCUUUUCGCUUACAGAAAUGCUCCACAAUCCACAACUAAUGAGAGUCCAGCAUUCCUUAUGUUUGGAAGAAGACUACAAUCUCGUCUGGAUUUACUUAGGCCAAAUAUAGACAUUCAGAAUAGACUAACGAAAAAUUAUUCCAAGGUGAAGCUUAGAGAAUUCCUUCCAAGUUGGGGACAGUGUUCUUGCACCCGAUUACAGAACGAAUCAAGAAAAAUGGCAAUAUGGUGUAAUAAAGUCAAAAACAGGACCUCUAAUGUAUACGGUAGAAAUACACCCAGGCAUUACAUGGAGGAGACAUAUCGAUCAAUUGGUCAGCACUCCAAGACAAGAGAAUGGUAAAUCUACCAGAAAAUGAUUCCUAAUGUGUCAGAAAGAAAUGAACAUUUUGCUAGUGCUACUCCAACACCAGAUACUGUUAUAAUACCUUCUCAAGACAGUCUUAGUGACCAAGCUACAAUACCGGACCCAGUAGGAAACAAUGAAGAAUCCUCCCAACCUCAAGUUGAGUACCCAUGCUCACCUACUAGAAUGGCAACACAUACUUCCCCUACACCCACAGUCAUAUAUCCUGAACCCAACUUCACAAUGUGGUUACAUUACCAGAAGUGGCAGAGAAGUUCGAAAACCAAAAAGAUACAACGAAUAGAACAAUCACAUAAAUUGACUUGUAUCUUAUUUUUUAUUAAGAUAUAUGCUGACCUGACUAUCUGUCCGGUCAUAUGAUCUUUUUUUUUCUUCUCUUCUCGACCUUCUUGUUGUUCAAUUUAAAUGCUACCAUCUUUUUUUUUAGAAGAGGAAGGUGAUGUGGUAUAUUAUUAUUUUAUUAUGCGAAUGUAUAUACUUUAUUCACGUUACUAAUAAAUAACAUCACUUCCGGGUCAUUCACUGGAAAAUGUUGUGAACCAAA
rnacentral:sRNA from 1 species